GUAAAUAUAGUUUAAAAAAACAUUAGACUGUGAAUCUAAUAAUAGAAGCCCAUCACCUUCUUAUUUACC
rnacentral:tRNA from 1 species